GACGAACGCUGGCGGCGUGCUUAACACAUGCAAGUCGAACGGAAAGGCCUGCUUUCCCUUGUGGAUUGCGGGUACUCGAGUGGCGAACGGGUGAGUAACACGUGAGUGAUCUGCCCCCAACUUGGGUAUAAGCCUGGGAAACUGGGUCUAAUUCCCGAUAGGACUGCAGGGUGGUGCCUGUGGUGGAAAACGAUUUUCUAGUGGUUGGGGAUGAGCUCGCGGCCUAUCAGCUUGUUGGUGGGGUAAUGGCCUACCAAGGCGGCGACGGGUAGCCGGCCUGGGGGGGGGGGCGGCCACGUGGGGACGAAAACCAGCGCGAAGCGCCGAGGGGGGGAGGGAGGGGGGAAUAGUAAACAAGGGGGGGGCGCGGGAUGCGGCGAGGCGGGGGGGGGGAUGCGGGCUUUGGGUUUGAAAACCCCUGUGGACGGAGAGGAAGCCCCUGGGUGGAAGGGGGGGGGAGGGUAGUGAAAAAAGAAGCCCCGGCUAAUUAGGUG
rnacentral:rRNA from 1 species